UUCGCUACUUUGACGAGAAGGAGCUGGAGCUGAUGCUUUGUGGGAUGCAGGAGAUCGAUUUGGCCGACUGGCAGAAGAACACCAUCUACAGACAUUACACCAAGAACAGCAAGCAGAUCCACUGGUUCUGGCAGGUGGUGAAAGAGAUGGACAAUGAGAAGAGAAUCCGUCUGCUUCAGUUUGUAACGGGAACCUGUCGGCUGCCCGUCGGAGGGUU